rnacentral:rRNA from 1 species
UCCUACGGGAGGCAGCAGUGAGGAAUAUUGGACAAUGGGGGGAACCCUGAUCCAGCCAUGCCGCGUGCAGGAAGACUGCCCUAUGGGUUGUAAACUGCUUUUAUACAGGAAGAAACUGCGCUACGUGUAGCGUACUGACGGUACUGUAAGAAUAAGGAUCGGCUAACUCCGUGCCAGCAGCCGCGGUAAUACGGAGGAUCCAAGCGUUAUCCGGAAUCAUUGGGUUUAAAGGGUCCGUAGGUGGUCUAUUAAGUCAGAGGUGAGAGCCUAUCGCUCAACGAUAGAACUGCCUUUGAUACUGAUGGACUUGAGUUAUUGUGAAGUAGUUAGAAUAUGUAGUGUAGCGGUGAAAUGCAUAGAUAUUACAUAGAAUACCGAUUGCGAAGGCAGAUUACUAACAAUAUACUGACACUGAGGGACGAAAGCGUGGGUAGCGAACAGGAUUAGAUACCCUGGUAGUCCACGCCGUAAACGAUGGUCACUAGCUGUUUGACUAACAUUGGUUAGUUGAGUGGCUAAGCGAAAGUGAUAAGUGACCCACCUGGGGAGUACGCUCGCAAGAGUGAAACUCAAAUGAAUUGACGG